rnacentral:rRNA from 1 species
GGUUAAGUGACUAAGCGUACACGGUGGAUGCCUAGGCAGUCAGAGGCGAUGAAGGGCGUGCUAAUCUGCGAAAAGCGUCGGUAAGGUGAUAUGAACCGUUACAACCGGCGAUACCCGAAUGGGGAAACCCAGUGUGUUUCGACACACUAUCAUGUCAUGAAUACAUAGUGGCAUGAGGCGAACCGGGGGAACUGAAACAUCUAAGUACCCCGAGGAAAAGAAAUCAACCGAGAUUCCCCCAGUAGCGGCGAGCGAACGGGGAGGAGCCCAGAACCUGAAUCGGCUUGUGUGUUAGUGGAAGCGUCUGGAAAGUCGCGCAGUAAAGGGUGAUAGCCCCGUACACUAAAAUGCACAGGUCGUGAGUUCGAUGAGUAGGGCGGGACACGUGACAUCCUGUCUGAAUAUGGGGGGACCAUCCUCCAAGGCUAAAUACUCCUGACUGACCGAU